rnacentral:lncRNA from 1 species
CUUGUGUGCUCUCAUGGAGAUAGACUUGAACCCUACGUUGCUCCUCAAGAAGGCGAGCCUCAGCCUUCUUCAUGUACUCUGUGACUGGGUUCUGUUGUAAGAAUUCAGUACUUUCUCGUGUAUAAAAUCUCUCUGUGUCAGCAAGAAACUGAGAUUCAAAGGAUUCUUUAUAGACAGUUAGUGUAGGCCCUUUUGCAAACGCAUCAUCUUCAUUGAGCCCCAGUUCCACAUAAGAUUGUACGACUCCACUGAUCAGCCUUGUAUUGAUAGUUUCACCAUUUCUUUCCUUUUCAAUCAAUUUCAAUACAGCAUUUGUUACCUGCUUAUUUAAUGGCCUGAAUAAGCAGUCUCUCCAGGUCACCAAGGCAAGCGAAUAAAUUUCAUAUAUUCCUUUACGACCUUCAUCACACUCACGACGAACCCAGUGUCGAUUGAGGUAGGCACAUAUCCCAUUGAGUACUUUGCUUGAAAACCUAUAAUCUUCCCACUGUUGAGUGUAGAAUUUCAACACACUUUCAUCCAUCAAAUCCUCACCAUCCUUAAGGAGAUUCGUCAAGUAGUUCUUCAGGAAUUCUUUUAGUCGUUUGUACAAUUCCAAACCCACAAACUGAGCACCUCCAGGUGUUUGACCUUUUUUUGAUUUAGAAGGAGGUACUCCAGCUCCCCGUGCUUGAUUAGAC